CCCAUUCACGUUGAUUUAAUUUCUUCCUGAAUUUCGUUCCUCAAAUCCUAUCAUGCACAGCAUUGUGGAACUUUGAUCCUUUUCCACCUGCGAUUGAAAUGGUGGGAGUUUCUUAAAAUUCUUGUGGGGCGCUAAGUUGUUAGGAUUUUCGUUUCCUCUUGUUCUUGAUCGCCAUGAUUUCGUGGAGAAGUUCGCUUCAGGUUCAUACUGAUGGUGCAUUCAGUAAUCUAAUAUGGAGACGGCUGCAAUUGAUACAGGAAGAGCUGUCUUAAGGUGGUGGCAUAUAUGGUUUGCAUGGGAAGAAUAUCCUAGAUAAAUGUUAUCCACACAAACAUUAUUGGUGGGGGAUACAGUAGUCGGCACCUCCAAUGGUAAUCCACAUUUCUGAACAUGGUCAAAAUAUUGUGUAUAGGCCUAUACGGCCAUCUGAUCGAGAAGCUCUUGAGGCGAUGCAUGCCGCGCUGUUUCCUAUCAGGUAUGAACCAGAGUUCUUCUUGAAUGUGGUCAAUGGUCAUGAUAUCGUAUCUUGGGCAGCUGUAGACAGAAGUCGCCCUGAUGGGAAUGAUGAUGAAAUAAUUGGCUUUGUCACUGUACGUGUUAUGAUAGCAACAGAAAACGAGAUAGGAGAUAUUCUUGGUUAUGGUUCUUCAAGAACAAACCAGACACUAGUUUAUAUCCUAACACUUGGUGUAGCAGAGCAAUAUAGGAAUCUUGGAAUAGCUUCUUCACUUGUUCAAGAGGUUAUCAAGUAUGCUUCAAGCCUCCCCGAGUGCAAAGCAGUAUAUUUACAUGUGAUUGACUAUAAUGAAUCUGCCAUCCUAUUCUACAAGAAGAUGAAUUUCCGAUGUUUGCGAAGAUUGCCAAGUUUUUAUUAUAUCAAUAGUCAACAUUUUGAUGCCUAUUUGUAUGUAUAUUAUGUAAAUGGCGGGCGGUCUCCUCAAUCUGCACUAGACUUUGUGGUAGCAGUUACAACUUAUUUAAGGGGUAUUUUUACAUCGUGGGCAACGAGGCUGUGGAAGCGUGAACAGAAGAUUCCUGGAUGGUCAAAAUGUAAAAAGGCUACUUCCUUUUUCAACUUAAAUAGGAUGAUAAAAAGUACCAAUAACAGGGGAUGCCAGCAUGUGUAGCAGCGAACUGCUAAUAUGGAGAACCUCAGCUCCUACGUAUACAACACUAGAGCAGUUUUCUCAUUUCUGUGUUGUGAAGUUGGGACUCAAAAGUAUGCCAUCCAAGUGUGUUUGCAGGUAAACAGUGUGCUGCAACACACUUUGAACCGGCGUAGUCAUCCAUCAGACAAGUCAGAUCUUCAGUAUUUUGAUAAUGUAACAAACAACAGGAUUGCCGGAACGUUACGCUUUACUAAUAUGGACAGUCUCGGAAGUUUUUGGAAUUCAUCAAAUUGCAAAGAAGGGUACAGAAUGUGUACAUGGUUCUGCAGCGAACAAAUCUCUCAGCACUGGUACGAGUUUGUUCCGUAUUACAUCUCAUGAUUUGUUCCGUAAGAACAAUAAAAUCCAAGAUAUUGAAAAGGAAACAUUUCAUUUAAGUGUCCACUUUUACGUCACAAUCCUAAAAGUUGACCCUCAUU